GCAUUUAAGGAUCGUACUUCCGGUGUGUCAACACGUGCCUGAGUGAUUUGUUUUUUUGGGGGGAUGUUCGUUCCGCUGAGAUAGUUGGUUGGACCGGCAGGGAGAGAUCGGUGUGUUUGUGGCUCCCCCCACCCCCCUCCCCCGUCAACCCUCUCCACCUCCAUAACCUCUUGUGAUUUCAGUGCCGAGGAUCAUGAAGCGAGACCUCACGACCAACGUCCACGAUCCUCGGUCCUCGGACUCCAAGACUGCGGGCUCUGAUGGAGGGGACAGAGGGGGUCCAGGAGCAGGAGGGGAUGGUGGGAUCUGCGGGUUCAGGAUCCUGGACGUUCAGAGCCUUCUUGAUGGAGGGGACGGGACGGACCGGGGACCAGAUGCUAUAGUGGUGGUGAAGGUGGAACCUGAACCGACAGGUGGUUUUCCCUCGCAAGACUUUAAUGGGGACGUGAAGGUGAAAACUGAACCUUUGGACAAUUGUUCAUCACAAGAUUUUAUUGGAGAUGUGGAGGUGAAACCUGAACUUGUGGAUCAUCAUUCUUCACAAGGCAAGUGCAGAACUACAUCCUAAUUGUUUGUUUCAGGUGUUAAUUUGUUCUGAAGGUAGAAUAUUCAACCAUUUGUGUGUACACCUUGUCAAAAGUAAAUUUCCUUGAGGUGUCGUGGCACAAUUUCACAUGCACACACAAGUGCACACACCUGAUAUAAAAGCUUAGAGGAUGUGUACUUGUAUUUGAAGUGUCUAUCCUGAGUAUUUAUCCACAUUCAUUUAAGGCCUCGUAAAUGCUUCAGAAGAGGAAUAUCCUGACUUUGAAAGAACCUGACUUUGCUGUUCUUUAUAUAGUGCUCUACAAACAGUGACACAUUCUUGUUUCCUUCACCAUUGAAGAUGGAUGGAGGUUAUGUUUUCAUCCGCUGUCUGUCUGUCCGUUUGUCUGCCUGUGAGCAGGAUAUCUCAAAAAGUUAUCGACAGAUUCGGAUUAAACUUGUUGGACAGGUUGGGUGUUUGACAAGGAAGGAUUCAUUCAAAUUAUGGUGAAGAUUCGGAUAUGAGAAUUUUGAUUUAUUUACUUAUGUGAUUGAAUCUUCACCAUCGAAAGAUCGGGCCAAAAGCGAAAUAGAGC
rnacentral:lncRNA from 1 species